ensembl:lincRNA
CACAAAGCUGUGUGCUUGGCUCCUGUGCUUGGCUUCCUCAGGCACAUCACAGAUUAUCCAUUUAGGAUCUGAGUGGACGUCUCAGCAUGCAGUGACGGAGAAAUGCUUGUCACAUGUAAAGGCCUGGAUCACCUUGUGGGUAAAAAGAGAGCAAAAAGCACAGGGUUUGGUCAACAUUGCCAGCAGGCCAAGGACAACCACAGACAAGUCUCUAAUCCCCUUUGUUCCUGGUUCUAACCUAGAGAGUGCCAAGGUCCCCACCCUUGCUCUCCUUCCUGUCCCACCCAUCUACUGUGUGGCAGCCUUUGUCUAACAGCAGUGGGUAGCAACGCCCUUCAAAAGCUCAGGGGACAUUCUUCCUUUGUCAGAAUGUCACACUCUUACCAGCUUAGGUUGUCCCCACUUAAGACUUUAUUCUUCUGGCCAUGAGUCACUGCUGCCAUCCUGUCUGUCUGUCUUAUUCCUGGUGGGAAAGAAGAGAAGGGAAGCAGUGGGACACAGAGGCUGAGAGGAAUGACAGAGGCUGAGGUGGCUCCUUGUGGAGCUAGGGAAUAUGGGGCAAGGCAGUUACAAGACGUCUCUACUGCCAUGGGCAGAGGAAAGAAUCGCUCCUCUGUAGGGUAGGAGGGAGAGCAGAUUCUCCUAUUCUGGUGAGAUUACCUAUCUCUGUGAGCCUCAGCUUCCUCAUUGGUGUAAAAGUCCCUGGUUCUUUGAGAGAGUAAGGGAAUUGACUCCAUUGCAAGCUAGGCAGUGCCUGGCACAUUAGGGUAACCCCCAACCCACACCUCUUCCUUCUCUCCUUCCACCUUGUAUACAUUACUUUUCUUGAUACUACGACCAAUCAUCACCCAACUAAAGCACUGUAAGGGGAGAAGGGCUUAUUGGGGUUCACAGUUUGGAGGGUCACAGCCCAUCAUGGUGAAGAAGGCAUGCAGAAAAAGGCAGUUGCUCACACAGCAUCUGCAGGCAGGACGCAGAGAGAGGUGGGGUGCUGCGAGACUCAGCUCCCUUUUCCUUUUUAGGGACCCUACCCCCACAGGAUGGUGCCAUCCUCUCUGUUACCUCUUUCUGGGAGCAUGUUCAUAGACUUGGAGAUGCGUUUCCAUGGUGAUUCUAAAUCCUGUCAAGUUGACAAUGAAGAUUAACCAUCCUGCUUUCUCCUAAAAGGAUAAUGAGUGUCUCUAAACAAGCAUGUAACCUUAGACAGGCUGGGCAAAGUACCACCAUGCCACCACCAUGCACCCAGAGGGGAACAGGGACAAGUGGGAGAGAACUUGGGGAGAUCCCUGUAUGAGGGGUGGGGAAGGGGAGGGAGCAUCUAUUCCACACAACUCUGUGCUUACAAUGAUUUAUUCCACAUCUCAGACUCAAGGCAAGAAUUUAAAUCCCACUUAAAGGCAGCUCCUCUCAUGAUUCAGCUCCAUAAUCAUCAUCAAUAUUUAUCAGCUCAGGCCUGCUUUCAGACAUCACAGAUCUCCUUCAGUCUGGAAAGCUGAAGGCUGAGAGGGGCUACUGAGAGAGUCUCCAAGCUCUAGAGGGACAGCUACAGCAAAGGGAGCAACGAGUUCUGUGCACUGGGUUUAGCAAGGGCUCGGCGACAUUCAGAACAUGAGGCCAUUUAGGUUCAAUGAAGGGAGAUUAUGUUUUGUUCUCAGUGAGAAUGAGAUACGCAAGAGGGGGUUGAGUGUGACCAUAAAAUGAAUGCAGGAAAAGUUUCAGGCAAGUUCAUGGUUGCCUGAGCUCUGGGAGGAGCACUAUGACCCUCUGAGAUUGC